UCUCCAGACUCCUACGGGAGGCAGCAGUGGGGGAUAUUGCACAAUGGGGGAAACCCUGAUGCAGCGACGCCGCGUGAGUGAAGAAGUAUUUCGGUAUGUAAAGCUCUAUCAGCAGGGAAGAAGAUGACAGUACCUGAGUAAGAAGCCCCGGCUAACUACGUGCCAGCAGCCGCGGUAAUACGUAGGGGGCAAGCGUUAUCCGGAUUUACUGGGUGUAAAGGGGGCGCAGACGGCAGCGCAAGCCAGGAGUGAAAGCCCGGGGCCCAACCCCGGGACUGCUCUUGGAACUGCGCGGCUGGAGUGCAGGAGGGGCAGGCGGAAUUCCUGGUGUAGCGGUGAAAUGCGUAGAUAUCAGGAGGAACACCGGUGGCGAAGGCGGCCUGCUGGACUGCGACUGACGUUGAGGCCCGAAAGCGUGGGGAGCAAACAGGAUUAGAUACCCCGGUA
rnacentral:rRNA from 1 species